AUACCUUGAUCCUGGCUCCUAUUGAACACUGAUUUUCGGCCUAACCCAUGCGAGUCUGGCGCUAUCGGAAUCCUUGCUCUCCUAUUCAGCGUCGGAUCGGUGAAUAAUGUCUAGGAAUCUGAUUGGAUCUGGGGGACUCCUUCACCUGGGUACCCUCCUACGGAUGACUGACUACGGAACAAACUGUGGUAUCUUCAGAACCCCCGCUAUCCGAUGAGCCUUUGUCGGAUUAGCUAAUUGGUGGUUCAUGGGCCUACCUGGGCUACGAUCCCAAUUUGGCCUGACAGGAUGAUCAGACACACUGGAAGUGAAACCCGGGCCGCACUCCGACGGAACGAACUCAUGUUAAAUGUUGUACAAUGGCUGAAAGCUUGAUCCACCCAUGCCCUGUGUGGGCAGAUGGUUUUCUGAUUGUAAAGCACUUUCAGCGAGAGGCGAAGGCGUUAAGGUUAAUAUCCUUGGCUUCUGACGUUACUCACUCAAUACGCUCCGGCUAACUCCUGGCCAGAGCCCGCUCU
rnacentral:rRNA from 1 species